rnacentral:rRNA from 1 species
UACAGAGGGUGCGAGCGUUAAUCGGAAUUACUGGGCGUAAAGCGUGCGCAGACGGUCAUGUAAGUCGGGUGUGAAAGCCCCGGGCUCAACCUGGGAAUUGCAUUCGAGACUGUGUGGCUAGGGUGCGGAAGAGGGAAGCGGAAUUUCCGGUGUAGCGGUGAAAUGCGUAGAUAUCGGAAGGAACACCAGUGGCGAAAGCGGCUCCUGGUCCAGCACCGAC